GAAUCACAUGAUACACGUGUCGGUUUUUUCAAUGUUAAUUCCUAUUUUUGAAGCGUCAAACAAACAGUAUAUAAGCACUGAUCUUACUGCUGUUUAGCACCUUCUCACUGGAAGGCUGAAGCUAUCGAGAUAUUAAAGAUCACCAUGAGGCUGCUGACCGUGUUUGUGUUUCUUUGUGUAAUGAUCCCUCUGAUCAUUACUGCUCAAAAAUCGGGCAGCAGUGGGGCAGAGAAUAAUCCACAAGAAGAGCAAGCUGUUGACAAGAGGAUCCUGUGGUAUUGGCGCAAAACUUAUCGUUGCGUUAAAUGGCGAUGGGUAUGGAGAAAGCGAUGGGGUAAA